rnacentral:rRNA from 1 species
AGGACAAACGCUGGCGGCGUACCUAAGACAUGCAAGUCGAACGGAUCAUAUGGUUUCGGCCGUAUGGUGAGUGGCGGACGGGUGAGUAACGCGUAGGAACCUGUCAUCAAGUGGGGGAUAACGCUGGGAAACCGGCGCUAAUACCGCAUGAGGUCGCAGCAAUGCGAAGAAAGCUUUUCGCGCAAGUGGAAGGCGCUCGAUGAGGGGCCUGCGUCCGAUUAGCUUGUUGGUGGGGUAAAGGCCUACCAAGGCAUCGAUCGGUAGCUGGU